CGCAAGGKUGWMACUCAAAGGAAUUGACGGGGRCCCGCACAAGCGGUGGAGCAUGAAGAUUAAUUSGAAGCAACGCGAAGAACCCCCCAACUCCYGMCAUCCUUUGACAACUYUAGAGAUAGAGCYUUCCCCUUCGGGGGACAAAGUGMCAGGUGGYGCCUGGUKGUSGUCAGCUCGUGUCGUGAGUUGUUGGGUUAAGUCCCGCAMCGAGCGCAACCCUUAAGYUUAGUUGCCAUCAUUAAGUUGGGCACUCUAAGUUGACUGCCGAWGACAAACCGGAGGAAGGUGGGGAUGACGUCAAAUCAUCAUGCCCCUUAUGAUUUGGGCUACACACGUGYUACAAUGGACAAUACAAAGGGCAGCGAAACCGCGAGGUCAAGCAAAUCCCAUAAAGUUGUUCUCAGUUCGGAUUGUAGUCUGCAASUSGACUACAUGAAGCUGGAAUCGCUAGUAAUCGUAGAUCAGCAUGCUACGGUGAAUACGUUCCCG
rnacentral:rRNA from 1 species